CCUACGGGUGACAGCAGUGGGGAAUAUUGCACAAUGGGGGAAACCCUGAUGCAGCGAAGCCGCGUGAGGGAAGAAGGAAUUCGUUAUGUAAAGCUCUAUUAGCAGGGAAGAAAAUGACGGUACCUGAGUAAGAAGCCCCGGCUAACUACGUGCCAGCAGCCGAGGUACUACGUAGGGGGCAGCCCUUUACCGGAUUUACUGGGUGUAAAGGGAGCGUAGACGGCAGUGCAAGUCCGGAGUGAAAGGCGGGGGCUCAAACCCCGGACUGCGCUGGAAACUGGACGGCUGGAGUGGAGGAGAGGUAAGCGGAAUGCGUGGUGUAGCGGUGAAAUGCGUAGAUAUUAGGAAGAACACCAGUGGCGAAGGCAGCAUACUGGACUGUAACUGACGUUGAGGCACGAAAGCGUGGGGAGCGAACAGGAUUAGAUACCCGGGUAGUC
rnacentral:rRNA from 1 species